rnacentral:rRNA from 1 species
UGGGGAAUUUUGGACAAUGGGCGAAAGCCUGAUCCAGCAAUGCCGCGUGUGUGAAGAAGGCCUUCGGGUUGUAAAGCACUUUUGUCCGGAAAGAAAUCCUUGGCUCUAAUACAGUCGGGGGAUGACGGUACCGGAAGAAUAAGCACCGGCUAACUACGUGCCAGCAGCCGCGGUAAUACGUAGGGUGCAAGCGUUAAUCGGAAUUACUGGGCGUAAAGCGUGCGCAGGCGGUUUGCUAAGACCGAUGUGAAAUCCCGGGCUCAACCUGGGAACUGCAUUGGUGACUGGCAGGCUAGAGUAUGGCAGAGGGGGGUAGAAUUCCACGUGUAGCAGUGAAAUGCGUAGAGAUGUGGAGGAAUACCGAUGGCGAAGGCAGCCCCUGGGCCAAUACUGACGCUCAUGCACGAAAGCGUGGGGAGCAAACAGGAUUAGAUACCCUGGUAGUCCACGCCCUAAACGAUGUCAACUAGUUGUUGGGGAUUCAUUUCCUUAGUAACGUAGCUAACGCGUGAAGUUGACCGCCUGGGGAGUACGGUCGCAAGAUUAAAACUUAAUGAAUUGACGGGGUCAUAGCUGUUUCCU